AUCAAGCUACAAAGAAGGCUUGUGGUGAAUGACUUGGUUGGUGCAGACGAUGAAGGACGUGGCAAGCUGCGAUAAGCUGCGGCGAGGCGCAAGCAGCCUUUGACCCGCAGAUGUCCGAAUGGGGAAACCUCUCUGAGGUAAUGCUCAGAGGCCCUCAAAAAGGGCGCGAACCCGGAGAAGUGAAACAUCUCAGUACCCGGAGGAAAAGAAACCGAAUGGCAUUUCCUGAGUAGCGGCGAGCGAAACGGAAUCAGCCCAAACCUUACAGGUGUAAGCCUGCCGGCGUUGCCUGUAAGGGGUCGCGGGACAUUUACGGAAAGUGCGGCAGCACUUUCGGGAAGUUACAAAUCUCAUGUAUAGCCGAAGUUCCUGGGAAGGAACGCCAGAGACGGUUACAGCCCGGUAGGCGAAAUAAAUGGGACUUCCUGGUGAAUGCUCCCAAGUAUCACGAGGCACGUGAAACCUUGUGAGAAUUUGCCCUGACCACAGGGUAAGGCUAAAUACUCGCACCAGACCGAUAGGGAACUAGUACCGUGAGGGAAAGUUGAAAAGAACCCCGGGAGGGGAGUGAAAUAGAACCUGAAACCACAAGUCCACAAAGCGGUCGGACCCCGCCAGUAAUGGCGCGGGGACGGCGUACCUUUUGUUUAAUGGUCCAGGGAGUUUUUUUCUAUCGCAAGUCUAAUCCUGGUAUGUCAGGAGGAGGCGCAGGGAAACCGAGUCUUAACAGGGCGUCUUUCAGCGGUAGGAAUAAGACCCGAAGCCAGUCGAUCUACCCAUGGCCAGGGUGAAGCUUCGAGAAAUCGAAGUGGAGGCCCGAACCAGUGUCUGUUGAAAAAGGCUUGGAUGAGCUGUGGGUGGGAGUGAAAGGCUAACCAAGACUGGUGAUAGCUGGUUCUCCCCGAAAUGACUUUAGGGUCAGCCUGAAGGUGAGAGUUCAGGAAGGUAGAGCACAGGAUGGGCUAGGGCGGAAUUUAUCCGUACCAAACCCAACCUAACUCCGAAUGUCUUGAACUUAUACUUUGGAGUGAGACUGUGAGGGCUAAGCUUCAUGGUCGAAAGGGAAACAGCCCAGACCGUCAGCUAAGGUCCCUAAACGCAGGCUAAGUGGUAAAGGAUGUGGAGGCACAAAGACAUCCGGGAUGUUGGCUUAGAGGCAGCCAUCAUUUAAAGAGUGCGUAAUAGCUCACCGGUCGAGUGGCUCUGCGCCGAAAAUGAUCGGGGCUUAAGCCUGCUACCGAAGCUACGGCUUUCCGAUGAAUAAUCGGAAGGGGUAGGGGAGCAUUCUCUGUGCGGUGAAGUUUCCGUGUAAGCGGGGGUGGAGCGCAGAGAAGAGAGUAUCCUGGAAUGAGUAGCGAAAAGACAGGUGAAAAACCUGUCCGCCGAAAGUCUAAGGUUUCUCCGUCAAUGUUCGUCAGACGGAGGUUAGGCGGCCCCUAAGCUCAACCCCGGGAAACGGGGGUAGGCGAUGGAGAAGGGCGUUAAUAUUCGCCCCCCACCUGUAAACAUUACUCUAUAUGGUGACGCGUAAGGUGCGAUGGUCAGACUGUUGGAUGUGUCUGUUCUUCCGGUUUUGCCGGGAGAGGAGCCCAAGCUACGGCGCGGGCGAACCCAUCAAAACCGAGCGCCAAGAAAUAGCCGUAUAGGGGUUUGCAGGUGACCGUACCGCAAUCCGACACAGGUAGACUGCCAGAGAAUGGUAAGGCGCGCGGGAGAAUCCUCGCUAAGGAACUCGGCAAAAUAGCCCCGUACGUUCGCAAGAAGGGGUGCCCCGCUUACGCGGGGUCGCAGUGAAUUGGCUCCUGUGACUGUUUAGCAAAAACACAGGUCCCUGCUUAACUCGCAAGAGGAUGUAUAGGGACUGAGACCUGCCCGGUGCCGGAAGGUUAAGGGAAAGGGUUAUCCCGAUUUAUCGGGAGAAGCUUAGAACCGAAGCCCCGGUGAACGGCGGCCGUAACUAUAACGGUCCUAAGGUAGCGAAAUUCCUAGUCGGGUAAUUUCCGACCCGCACGAAUGGUUGAACAAUGGGAGCACUGUCUCGGCGAGGAUCCCGGCGAAAUUGUAGUGGCGGUGAAGAUGCCGUCUACCCGCAGUUGGACGAAAAGACCCCGGAACCUUUACUGUACGCUGGUAUUGGAUUUUGGUACUGUAUGUGUAGGAUAGGUGGGAGGCUUUGAAGCCCGGACGCCAGUUCGGGUGGAGCCGCCGGUGGAAUACCACCCUUAUAGUACUAAGGUUCUAACCUCGGCUUGAUCGAGGAACAGUGCCAGUCGGGCAGUUUGACUGGGGCGGUUCCCUCCUAAAAGGUAACGGAGGGGCCCAAAGGUACCCUCAGUCCGAUUGGAAAUCGGACGACGAGUGUAAGGGCAUAAGGGUGCUUGACUGUGAGAGAGACAUCUCGAGCAGAGCGGAAACGCGGGCCUAAUGAUCCGGUGGUUGCACGUGGGAGCGCCAUCGCUCAACGGCUAAAAGGUACUCCGGGGAUAACAGGCUAAUCAGGCCCAAGAGUUCAUAUCGACGGCCUGGUUUGGCACCUCGAUGUCGGCUCAUCCCAUCCUGGGGCUGGAGAAGGUCCCAAGGGUCCUGCUGUUCGCAGGUUAAAGGGGUACGUGAGCUGGGUUCAGAACGUCGUGAGACAGUUCGGUCUCUAUCCACUGUGGGUGUGAGGAUCCUUGAAAAGGAGCUGUCCCUAGUACGAGAGGACCGGGACAGAGGAACCUCUAGUGUACCAGUUAUCUCGCCAGGGGUAAAGGCUGGGUAGCUAUGUUCCUUUAAGAUAACCGCUGAAGGCAUCUAAGCGGGAAGCUGACCUUGAAACUAAGGAUCCCUUCCCGGUUUCGGCCGGGAUGAAGGCUGGUGGGAGACUACCACCUUGAUAGGACGCAGGUUGAAGCAUAGUAAUAUGUGUAGCCGAGCGUUACUAAUAAGCCAAUCGGCUUGAUACCCCCUUU
rnacentral:rRNA from 1 species